CGCCUGGCCUAUUCCUGCUUUUAAAAUAAAAUUUGCAUUUGAGAAAGUUCCAGCAUCUUAAAGGCAGAAAAGCUCUUGUUACCAAAUUUUGUCUAGUAUUUGUUUGCUUGCCUUGCCUCUGGUGACCAAUAACUUUCAUUCUCUAGACUGUGUGCUGAUAGCACUGUGAGUUGAAGGGACCCUGAAUAGCCUGACUCUCAGGAGCAACCCUUUGCCACGCUGGCAGAAAAUCUGUAAGUCUCUUUGAGUCCACACAGAGAUCAAACUCCAAAACCUCAUCCAUCUCAUCUUACCUCUUACGCCAAUGUCAAGGACAAGCAGGUCUAAUCCUCUACAUUAGACACAGACAGAGCAAAAUAAGUUUCUCCAAGCUUUAGGAAAUCCAUCCCUUCAGUUAUAGACUAUGUACUUCAGAAAACCCUCUCCUCUCUGAAUUCCUCUGUGCUGACUGCCAAGGCUGUACAUUAUCUAAUGUUAUCAGGAUAUAAAGGACCAGACUAUAUGGGUUCCAGUCCUGACUCUAGCAGUAUGACUUUGGACGAGUCACUUUUCUUGUCUAGGCUUUAAUUUUUGCAUUUUUAGAAGUGUGAGGGCGAGUCAGUGGAGUAAACUGGAUUGCAGUUAAGCUUUGGAAAUAUAAUACUAACACUUAAAUUCAAAUCUCUUAGCCAAGUCAGUAAGAUGCUUACUUGUGCACUAGUUCCCUUCUCCACUGGGUGAAAGGUUAUUAUAGGGAUUGAAAUAGCCAUCAAGGGCCUGACACAUGGAAGCUAUUAUGAUUCAGUGCCUUCUUUAUGUGUAAGUAGAUGGUGUCUAUGUGGUUUGAGUUCCCCAGUGGCUGGAACUGUUGAAGUGUGAUCCCAGGGAGGGAUACCUGGGUUGGAUUCCCACUGCUAUAACCUCCUAGCUGUCUGAUGACCCUGGGCAAAUUCAAUGUUUAUUUAUAAAAUUGAGACCUUUUUUUUGCCUCCCAGAGUUGUUGUGAGGGUCAAUAAUAUAAAACUUAUAACUCUUGUUGGGGGAAGUAUUUAUUUCACAUUUAUGUAUCCACAUGGAGUGACUUCUGGAUGUGUUCCCUAUCUCCCACACAGGGGUGAGAACAAACUUAUUUGCCUGGUGAAUUUGGGAGAAGGAUCUGAGCUCAGCCCCUUCCUUUUCCUUUUCUGGAACCAACCUGCUCUCAUGUUACAAGCUUGGCAGUAUGUGCCUCAAGUCUGCCAGGAUGAUCUUCUCCUGUCGUAUCUGCCCUGCCACACUUGGUUGGCCCUUAUAGACAAGACUGUGUUGUAAUUAUCAUCACACCCUUCAAAGUGUAUACCUGUCAUUCUUCAUCUAUCUAUCCAUCUACCUACCCACAACUCAGCGAGCCUCUACUUUGUGCUAGACCUGUGUAAGUACUGUGCCAGAAACUGAGGGUACAAAGGCAAAUAAGACAGUAUAGCUGCUGCCCUAAAUGAACUUAUACAGAGCAAUUCCCAGAGGGCCCUGACAUAAAUGAGGUAAAAAAUCUCUAUGAGGAAAUACGCCUGUCUCUCACACUAGGAAAAACACCAUAAAGUAACUCAGGAAUAUUUCCAAUUAUGAAAGAAAUCUGCUGGUUUGGUAAAACAGAAGACAAAUGUUAAACUCUAGAUAUUUCUAAUUGAACACCACUCUCAAUCUUUUGUUAUUAGGCAUGUAAGGCACAUUGUUUGAUAUCUUUACUUGAAAACUGGUAGUUUCCAAACAGUUGAUAUUGGACAAAGAUUCUUUGUCUUCUUGAAACCAAAACACUGAAAAAAAAAAAGAAAAAAAAAAGAGGAAGGAGGGAAUGGGGUUGGGGAGAAAAAUAAUCACCAUUACCAUCACACCAGCUAUACUAUUAGAUUCUUACCCUGUGUUAAUUUUAUAUAUAUUAUAUACAUUAUAUAUAUUUUAUAUAUUAUAUUAUAUAUUAAUACCAAUAUAUAACAUAUCAAUAUUUUAUAUAUAUAUAUACACACACACAUAUAUAUAAAAACUUGGGAGGUUGUGCCUGGUUUCUCCUGGACUUUGCCCAUGUACCUUUUCUCCUUGCUGAUUCUGCUUUGUAUCCUUUUGCUCUAGGAACUCAUAGCCCUGAGCAUAAUUAUAUGCUGAGUCCUACGAAUCUUCCUAGGAAAUCACAUAUAUAUGAAUGAAACAUUUUAUAUCGAUUUUUAAAUGCUCACUACAUGCCUCUGAAGCAGCUGGAAAAGGCUGUAAAAACUGAAGAGGUCCUGAAAUCAGCCAUAAAAAUUUCAAAGAAAACUUUCACAUCGGAGAUCCACCACCUCUUGGAAGGCUCAGGCCCAACUGUUCUUAAAACUAGGCAGAAAAUUCUACCAACAAAAGUCACUCAAAACUUCUUGGAUGUUUGGUCACAUUUCCAUGUAACCCUAGCUGAGAGGAUUUUGCUUUGUGGAAAAAAGUAAUGUUGAGAGAAGACAGAAUAUGCUUCCUUAGAGGAAAGUAGGAGUGAAAGUGAGAUGGUGUGAUGUCAUCCUAUACACCCAGAGUCAAGCAGUUUAUUGUGGUUUAAUGAUGAGAUGCAUGUGCUGAGGAGGUAAUCAGAAGAAGUGAGAAAAGGAGACGGUGUGAAAUUUUGAAGAUUUUAUAUGCCAUGAUGCAGAAAUAAAAGUUCAGCAGGGUCAAGUAAGUUGUCCAAUGUUCAGUAUGAUGGAGUGGGAUUCACAUGCAAGACUAACUACCACUGAACCAUUUACUUCUGACUUUGCUAUUCUGCUUCCACUCACUGAACAUCUCUCUGAGCAAGGCUCAGCACCUGGUAUGAAGGCUGAAACAAGAGCGGUUGCACAGCAAAUGUUUUGCUAUAAUGAGAGAAUACAUGAAUUAAAUGCGAAUUAAACUGCUUCUA
rnacentral:lncRNA from 1 species